AGGUCUGCCGCGUGGACCCAUUUGAUGCUGGAAAGCGUUACUCAAAGCAGGCCUUCCCUGGGAACCCACUAAUCACACUUAAAAAGCUUUCCCGCUUCCCCAAACUUUCAUCCUCCUGGACCAUCCGGUCUCCAGGCCCCGGCUCAAGGGCCCAGAAGGAGUUGCAGGGGGAAGUUGAUCCACAGGGGAGCCCGGUCCUCAGAGUUCUGAAGGCCCCUGGGGUGGUGGGACAGGCCUGGGCCUCCGGCCAUCUUCCCUGUACCGUGGGCGCCUUCUGGGCUGUGUGUGCUGGGGACUGAGCCCUGACCUGUGACCCAGAUUCUGAGGCAAGGAAGAGGGCCGGACUCUUCCGGGAAGUGUGGACGGUCUAUGUGGAGGAGCUGUGUUCUUUCUGCUACAUCAUACUGACGAGACGGCAAGCUCCUUCCCCAAGAAAGAAGGCUGAUGGAGGUUCCAGACACUUCCUCCUUCCUAAGGAAGAGUUCCUCGAGACAACGCAGCUUACAAGGUGUUGCCGAAUAGUUCAAAGGAAGCUGCGUUCAUGUUCACAUAAGGUGUUCAUAGGAAGCCUGCUUUUCUUCCUGUUUAUAUGAAGAAAGUAUAAACGUCGUAAAGCUGGGGUGGGGGGAAAUCUUCAAAACACAAAAAUAAACAAUCUUCCUUCUGAAA